rnacentral:rRNA from 1 species
UAGCUAGUCGAAGCGAACGAGGGGAACUGAAACAUCUAAGUACCCUUAGGAAAAGAAAUCAACCGAGAUUCCGAAAGUAGCGGCGAGCGAAAUUGGAACAGCCCUUAAGCUGUUUAGAAGUUAGUGGAAUGUUCUGGAAAGUACAGCGAUACAGGGUGAUAGCCCCGUACACAAAAACUUCUUUAUAGUGAAAACGAGUAGGUCGGGACACGAGAAAUCCUGACUGAAUAUGGGGGGACCAUCCUCCAAGGCUAAAUACUCCUAAUUGACCGAUAGUGAACCAGUACCGUGAGGGAAAGGCGAAAAGAACCCCUGUGAGGGGAGUGAAAUAGAACCUGAAACCGUGUACGUACAAGCAGUAGGAGCCGACUUAGUUCGGUGACUGCGUACCUUUUGUAUAAUGGGUCAACGACUUAAUUUCAGUAGCAAGGUUAACCGAAUAGGGUAGCCGUAGGGAAACCGAGUCUUAACUGGGCGAAUAGUUGCUGGGAUUAGACCCGAAACUUGGUGAUCUAGCCAUGAGCAGGUUGAAGGUUGAGUAACAUCAACUGGAGGACCGAACCCACUAAUGUUGAAAAAUUAGGGGAUGACUUGUGGCUGGGGGUGAAAGGCCAAUCAAACCAAGAGAUAGCUGGUUCUCCUCGAAAGCUAUUUAGGUAGCGCCUCGUGUAUCACUGUUGGGGGUAGAGCACUGUUAAGGCUAGGGGGUCAUCCCGACUUACCAACCCUUUGCAAACUCCGAAUACCAACAAGUGCAAUCACGGGAGACACACGGCGGGUGCUAACGUCCGUCGUG